rnacentral:rRNA from 1 species
CCUACGGGAGGCAGCAGUGGGGAAUAUUGGGCAAUGGGCGCAAGCCUGACCCAGCAACGCAGCGUGAAGGAAGAAGGCUUUCGGGUUGUAAACUUCUUUUCUCAGGGACGAAGAAAGUGACGGUACCUUAGGAAUAAGCCACUGCUAACUACGUGCCAGCAGCCGCGGUACUACGUAGGUGGCAAGCUUUAUCCGGAUUUACUGGGUGUAAAGGGCGUGUAGGCGGGGAAGCAAGUCAGAUGUGAAAACCACGGGCUCAACCUGUGGCCUGCAUUUGAAACUGUUUUUCUUGAGUGCUGUAGAGGAAGACGGAAUUCCUAGUGUAGCGGUGAAAUGCGUAGAUAUUAGGAGGAACACCAGUGGCGAAGGCGGUCUGCUGGACAGCAACUGACGCUGAGGCGCGAAAGCGUGGGGAGCAAACAGGAUUAGAUACCCGAGUAGUC